rnacentral:tRNA from 1 species
GCCUUCGUGGUGUAGUGCUCAGCACGUUUGACUCAUAACCGAGAGGUCCGUGGUUCGAUUCCCGGCGAAGGUG